AUAAACAGAUAUUACUUUAAUAGCACGUAGCAUGGAGGCAGAUAACCUGCUGAAGAAACUUCAAGAGAAAUUCCAAGUUCUGUCGGACCAAUUAACACAGAGACAUAUCUUUUUGCAUAACACUGAAAUGAAACUGUGGUGAAGAAUCUGCUGUACAUGUUAUAUAUUAUAUUCAAUAUUAUAUAUGUUAAAUUAAGAGCGUAUCUUGUAAACUAUAUUAUAAUGUAAGUUUAAUUAUCCAAAAAUGAAUGUGUUAAGCAAUACAUGGGGGGGUAUUUUCAUCAGUUUUAAA